UGUCUGGGAAACUGCCUGAUGGAGGGGGAUAACUACUGGAAACGGUAGCUAAUACCGCAUAAUGUCGCAAGACCAAAGAGGGGGACCUUCGGGCCUCUUGCCAUCGGAUGUGCCCAGAUGGGAUUAGCUUGUUGGUGGGGUAACGGCUCACCAAGGCGACGAUCCCUAGCUGGUCUGAGAGGAUGACCAGCCACACUGGAACUGAGACACGGUCCAGACUCCUACGGGAGGCAGCAGUGGGGAAUAUUGCACAAUGGGCGCAAGCCUGAUGCAGCCAUGCCGCGUGUAUGAAGAAGGCCUUCGGGUUGUAAAGUACUUUCAGCGGGGAGGAAGGGAGUAAAGUUAAUACCUUUGCUCAUUGACGUUAUCCGCAGAAGAAGCACCGGCUAACUCCGUGCCAGCAGCCGCGGUAAUACGGAGGGUGCAAGCGUUAAUCGGAAUUACUGGGCGUAAAGCGCACGCAGGCGGUUUGUUAAGUCAGAUGUGAAAUCCCCGGGCUCAACCUGGGAACUGCAUCUGAUACUGGCAAGCUUGAGUCUCGUAGAGGGGGGUAGAAUUCCAGGUGUAGCGGUGAAAUGCGUAGAGAUCUGGAGGAAUACCGGUGGCGAAGGCGGCCCCCUGGACGAAGACUGACGCUCAGGUGCGAAAGCGUGGGGAGCAAACAGGAUUAGAUACCCUGGUAGUCCACGCCGUAAACGAUGUCGACUUGGAGGUUGUGCCCUUGAGGCGUGGCUUCCGGAGCUAACGCGUUAAGUCGACCGCCUGGGGAGUACGGCCGCAAGGUUAAAACUCAAAUGAAUUGACGGGGGCCCGCACAAGCGGUGGAGCAUGUGGUUUAAUUCGAUGCAACGCGAAGAACCUUACCUGGUCUUGACAUCCACGGAAGUUUUCAGAGAUGAGAAUGUGCCUUCGGGAACCGUGAGACAGGUGCUGCAUGGCUGUCGUCAGCUCGUGUUGUGAAAUGUUGGGUUAAGUCCCGCAACGAGCGCAACCCUUAUCCUUUGUUGCCAGCGGUCCGGCCGGGAACUCAAAGGAGACUGCCAGUGAUAAACUGGAGGAAGGUGGGGACGACGUCAAGUCAUCAUGGCCCUUACGACCAGGGCUACACACGUGCUACAAUGGCGCA
rnacentral:rRNA from 1 species